UACAGAGGGUGCAAGCGUUAAUCGGAAUUACUGGGCGUAAAGCGUGCGUAGACGGUUACAUAAGUCGGGUGUGAAAGCCCCGGGCUCAACCUGGGAAUUGCAUUCGAGACUGCGUAGCUAGGGUGCGGAAGAGGGAAGCGGAAUUUCCGGUGUAGCGGUGAAAUGCGUAGAUAUCGGAAGGAACACCAGUGGCGAAAGCGGCUUCCUGGUCCAGCACCCGACGUUCAGGCACGAAAGCGUGGGGAGCAAACAGG
rnacentral:rRNA from 1 species